rnacentral:rRNA from 1 species
AACGAACGCUGGCGGCAGGCCUAACACAUGCAAUCGAGGGGAAGCCACUUUCGGGUGGUGGAGACCGGCGCACGGGUGAGUAACGCGUGGGCAUCUGCCCUCGGGUGGGGGAUAACCGCUGGAAACGGCGGCUAAUACCGCAUACGCCUUGAGAGGGAAAGAUUUAUCGCCCUGGGAUGAGCCCGCGUUGGAUUAGCUUGUUGGUGAGGUAAAGGCUCACCAAGGCGACGAUCCAUAGCUGGUCUGAGAGGAUGAUCAGCCACACUGGGACUGAGACACCGGCCCAGACUCCUACGGGAGGCAGCAGUGGGGAAUAUUGGACAAGUGGGGGCAACCCUGAUCCAGCCAUGCCGCGUGUGUGAAGAAGGCCUUAGGGUUGUAAAGCACUUUCACCGGUGAAGAUGAUGACGGUAGCCGGAGAAGAAGCCCCGGCUAACUCCGUG